rnacentral:rRNA from 1 species
UGGGGAAUCUUGCGCAAUGGGCGGAAGCCUGAUGCAGCGACGCCGCGUGCGGGACGAAGGCCUUCGGGUCGUAAACCGCUUUCAGCAGGGACGAGGCCCUCACGGUGACGGUACCUGCAGAAGAAGCCCCGGCUAACUACGUGCC